GGCACGAGGGGGCAAGGUCCCCGCACUUCGAGGGCAAUACGCGGGGCCACGCGGCCUGUACCCGGGGGCUGCCAUCCGCUUCGGGUGCCCCUCCUGAGCGGGAUCCCCUGGCUGCCGCGUGGCCUGACCGCCCAAUCCGGGCCCAGAACCCUAGAAGGCGCAUCGGUCACUUCCGGUAAAGACCGGAAGUCCGCGAACGGCACCCGCCUCGCGCUACGACGCACUUCCGGCCUGAGGGGCCGCUGUCCUCACGGCUUCCAGUAGGGGGCGCUAGGGCCUCGGUAACAAGGCGAAGGCCGUUAGCCCUCGCGCGUUCUGAGAGUUCGCAGUCCCCACCUCUAACCCCUCUAAUCAAUUCCGGGUCCUUUUCGCGAACCAGUGACGCCAUUUCCGGGGAUGGGAAGGCUAGGAAGAGAGCGCAAGAGUAAUGAUUACAUGUCCCGACAGGCCUCGGGAGUAGCGGCCCAGUGCCUGGUGGGAGAUGUAGUUCAUCGGGCACAGCAGCUGCGGCGCUCGGCCGGCGAAGGACUCGGUUUCCCAGAGGGCCGAGCACGACGCAAGAUGGAGACGGCCGGGCCGCGGUAACCCGCAGCCUCAGUGGAGCAGGUGGAGCAGCUGAGCAGAGCCGCGCAGGGGACUUCGUGCUGACACAGCCUCCUCUGCCCACAGGGCUCGGGCAUCGGCACUCGGCACCCGGCACCCAGGCAGGUGUGCGGCCCAGGACGCAUGGCGGAGGUGGGGGCCGGCGAGCCCU